rnacentral:rRNA from 1 species
CCUACGGGGGGCUGCAGUGGGGAAUUUUGCGCAAUGCUCGUAAGAGUGACGCAGCGACGCCGCGUGAAUGACGAAGGCCUUCGGGUCGUAAAGUUCUUUCGACAGGGAAGAAAAUGCCUAUAAGUAACUGUGUAUGUAUUGACGGUACCUGUAUAAGCAGCCCCGGCUAACUCCGUGCCAGCAGCCGCGGUAAUACGGAGGGGGCGAGCGUUGUUCGGAGGGACUGGGCGUAAAGCGCACGUAGGCGGUGUUGUAAGUCAUUAGUCAAAGACUAGAGCUCAACUUUAGUAAGGCUAGUGAUACUAUAAUACUAGAGUAUCAGAGAGGAUGGCAGAAUUCCUGGUGUAGCGGUGAAAUGCGUAGAUAUCAGGAGGAAUACCGUUAGCGAAGGCGGCAAUCUGGCUGGAAACUGACGCUGAGGUGCGAAAGCGUGGGUAGCAAACAGGAUUAGAUACCCUUGUAGUC